CGGAGCCGUCCACCACCCGAACCGACUCCGUGAUCGAGAAUCCACCAAGCACCAACCACCGUCUCUCUUAUAUAAGCGUUCCCCUCGCCCCGUUCUCUCCUGCUCCCAGCACCGCCCGUCGCAGGGACGGCUCAUCUUCGUUCCGUCGCGGGGAUCGUGAGAUCUCAUGGGUUAUCUCUUCUUUUUGAUUAAGUGGUGGACGAUUCGCCUCUCCAAAUACAUGUCUAUCCCUUAAGCGAAGGGAUUUUGUGGCCUUCCGUUUGUGACGGCUGAAUCGGUUGAUGCGUCAGAUCCGUCAGUUUAUGCCAUCUGCUUCCUGUUCGCAUGCCCCUGUGGAUGUUUAUCUCCGUGGAACGCCACUCCUGCUGGUUCAUCUUCACUGGUUUAUGAUGCCCACGGCCAACACCACUGAAAUCUUCUCAGACGAUGGUUGGUGGUUAAGCUGAAGAAUGCUUUCUUGAGGCUUUCUUGUCUCCGCAAGGCGCCAGAAGGAAACGGGCCAUCCGAUAUAUGGUUUCUGUUUGCCGAUCAAAUGAUGUACGUGUUCCCUUCGGCUCACAAGAUGAUGCUGGCCUGUCUCCAAACAUCACAGAAAGGUAAUUGUGUUGGUAAGCUGAUGAUGCGCAUGUGAGCACAUGCGUAUUGUACUCCUUGAUGUACCAGUACAUUGGUAGGCCGCUUGAUGUACCAGUACAUUGGUAGGCUAGGACGGCCUUUGCCAUGUCGGGUGCGCUCGCUUGGCAGGCCACGAGACAAUAAAAAGUAUAUUUGGUGGUGUUUGCGGGGUGGAGAUCGCACGGGAACAAUCUAUUUGUUCUACUUUGCCCGGGUUCUCCACCCUGCCAUGUGUCUCUGUCCUUCUCCUGUGUUUGAUUUUGCGGCAUCAUCUGAAGUACACCACGAUCCUACAUAGCAAAUAUGUCAGACAGGCCUGGGCGCAGCGGUGACUACUUUGUGAGGAUCAAUUUAACUACGCACGAAGGUACAUCUAACUGCUUCUUUCAGCGUUAUAUCAAUUUAAAUUUGAAGUGACCCUGAAACAUUGGUACCCUUUUCUGAAGGGUCAAUCUGAACUGACCUCGUAGUUGUCGAUCCAAAAAUGCUUGUGCAUUUCAUCUCAACUAAAUGAGCAACUGUAUAAAUGGUGGACCUUCAGUUUGAUACAAGGUUGAUCAUACCCGUAAUUUUGUACCCUUGCACCCCGAGAAUGAAAAUAGGGAAAUUCCCACCAUCUACUUGCGCAACAUGGGCUAAGUGAUCCUGAGAACUUUUAAUAACUCUGCAUAUUUAUUUUAUCUUACCAUGCCGUGUCCGUAGUCUUGUGGUCCUAAGAAGGCGAGUUGCUUGCAUUUCCUGUUGGUUACCAUGAGUACUUCUGUAUGUAUAUACCAUCGGAAGACUUGAUUCCUUUGUGUACAACUAGUUAGUCUUUGAAAUUUAUUUGUAUACUUAGUUACUGGAGCUUGUCCAAAUAUUGCUGCUGCAUCAUACUACCUCACGUGGAAAGUUGGAUUCGUUUUGAGGAUUACUGGAGGCAGAUCUUCAUAUCUAAUGAAGUUGCAGACUAGUUAUGAUUGUCAAUGCCAUUUUCGCUCUUAAGAAAUGUUGCUAGUGUUUGAUAUACUGAAACCUGAAUUGAAGAAUGUGUUGAUAUAUUCUGUAAGGUGCAGGUGCUGCGUCGAGGAUGCCUGGUUAGUUACGCAAUUUCAGCUCGCUGAUUGCCUGCUUAAAUUGCAAUAUGUAAGAUUAGAGAACCCAGCGUGCGGUUUUUUCAUAGCUUAAAAUGUCUUCUGUGAGGACUGACUUGUUAUGAACUGUGAUUCAAUUUAUUGAAUAUUUUUUUACAGUUUGUAAUUUAAUAUGUCUUCUAAAAGUCGUUUCAAGUUAGAUUGGAUUGGAGAAUUUUGCUCUGCAUGGCUCGUCUUGGCUUGAUCUGAAUAUUUUUGAUUUGUCAAACAAAUCUAUAAUUUAGUUUGUCUUCUAACAUUUGUCUAACAAUAGCUAUGCAUUCUUUUAACCUUUGUCUUAACAAAGUUGUUAAAAACAAAAUUAUGUAAUUUUUUCAGUAUAAGCAGGCUUAUUCAAAGUGGGUUUGUUUCAAAUCAAAUUCAAUUGGAUUGGAGAAGAAUCUUGGGGCUGUGCUCGAGUCUGAAAUGGCUUGAUCUGCAUAUUUUGUCAACUUAAAAGAUUAAAAGAUAAAAGAUGAAUAAAUGGUGGAUCUUUAGCUCUGAACUGGGAAGAGCAUUCUAGCAAACAAAUUGCUGGGAAUGAUGGUUCGACUCCAUCAAGAUCCUUUGUUUGAGAGUAGUAUCUUCUUAGGGGCCAUGAUGGUAUUUGCAAGAACCGGGGCCAUUCAGUCUCGUCAUUUCAUCGUGGUCUGUAGACGUGGGAAAUACCGUUGUGGCGGGCGGCACAUGCCAUGCAUUGAGAACCUAAUCUGUCAACAUCUUUUUAUGAACGCAAGACCAAUGCCCUCUUUAUUGAGUUGUUGCGUUCGCCAACAUCUUCUUAUGAACGCAAAACCAGUGCCCUCUUCUUAUUGAGCUGUUGGGUUUGACUACUCCCCCUCACUCAGUUUACAGGGCGUACCUCUAGGUCGUCAGUUUAUAACCGUAAUACAAGUCAUAUAUUAUAAAAAAUAUAUUAAUAUAAACUUCAGAUGUUCUAUUUUUAAACGGUAUAAUUUUUGUGUUAUAUAGUUUAUAUUAGGGUGAUAAAAUUGGUAGCCUAGGUAUACACGUAGGAUUUGUAAACUGAAACGGAGGGAGUAAUUGAGAUGCGAGUCUUGGGAGACGUAAGGUUGAUUUCGUUCUUGAUGAGCAAAUUAAAUCCUGUUGGAGCUUGGUGAGCAAAUUAAAUCCUGUUGGAGCUCUGGGCAAGAAAUUGAAUUGAAAAUCUCCAAGACGUGGCUGGUAAUCUGGAUAGGUUAAUGAAAUUAGAGCACACAAGUUAUCUUCCUAAAAAGAAAUUAGAGCACACAAGUUAUCUUCGUAAGAGAUUUAUCUCUUUCUAAAAGAAAUGAUCGGUUGACUAUUUUAUAGAGGAAGAGAAUUCUUAGAAAGAUGGAAGAGCUCCUUAUCAAGGAGAAAAUUAUGUGGAAGCAGAAAUUUUGGAUUCAUUUUCCCUUUCUUGCAGGCUCAUGCAAGGGCUUUAUCUCUGUACUCUUCCGGCAUAGGUCUGUCCUUGGAUGCGUGUGAUAAAGGGUCCCUUCUAAAAUUUCAUAUCAACAAACAGGAUUCAGGUCGAAGAAGGGAUGUAAAUUUGAUCACUCACUCAUUCUAUCCUCAUGAUGCCGAAGAAAUUCUAAACAUGUGUAUUCAAGGCUCGGUGGACAAACGAUUUUUAUUGCGGGUGCAUAAUCUGGCAUUUGAAGCUUAAGGAGCGUAAGGAGGAUUGUGGGCAAUCAAGUGGAGGCGUGAAUGGGGAUAAGGAGCUUUGGAAUGUCAUAUAGAAGGCCAAUGUCCAUCAGAAGAUCAGAAUUUUGUUUGGCAUGUGAUAUCUAAUAGCCUGAUGGUCCAGGUGAAUAGACUUAUGCACCAUCUGGCUACUCCGGUGUGCACUCUAUAUUUGUGGAGUGGAAGAUGAAAGCAUGUUCCAUGGUCUGGUGGCUUACCCUGAGGUGAGCUCUGUGCAUGGAGUUGAGUAAAGUGUGGAAUAUUUCGGGGAGUGAAAUCUUUAACUUCUCAAGGCCCGAUUGGAUGCUUAUCUUGUUGGAUCAGUUAACUUCUCUAUUACAAGAACAUACCUUAUUCA